rnacentral:rRNA from 1 species
AGAGUUUGAUCCUGGCUCAGGACGAACGCUGGCGGCACGCCUAACACAUGCAAGUCGAACGGAGAUGAUUUGAGUUUACUUAGAUCAUCUUAGUGGCGGACGGGUGAGUAACACGUGAGCAACCUGCCUUUGAGAGAGGGAUAGCUUCUGGAAACGGAUGGUAAUACCUCAUAACAUACAGAUACCGCAUGGUGACUGUAUCAAAGAUUUAUCACUCAAAGAUGGGCUCGCGUCUGAUUAGAUAGUUGGUGAGGUAACGGCUCACCAAGUCGACGAUCAGUAGCCGGACUGAGAGGUUGAACGGCCACAUUGGGACUGAGACACGGCCCAGACUCCUACGGGAGGCAGCAGUGGGGAAUAUUGCACAAUGGGGGAAACCCUGAUGCAGCGAUGCCGCGUGGAGGAAGAAGGUUUUCGGAUUGUAAACUCCUGUCUUAAAGGACGAUAAUGACGGUACUUUAGGAGGAAGCUCCGGCUAACUACGUGCCAGCAGCCGCGGUAAUACGUAGGGAGCGAGCGUUGUCCGGAAUUACUGGGUGUAAAGGGAGCGUAGGCGGGACGGCAAGUCAGAUGUGAAAUACAUGGGCUCAACCCAUGGGCUGCAUUUGAAACUGCUGUUCUUGAGUGAAGUAGAGGUAAGCGGAAUUCCUGGUGUAGCGGUGAAAUGCGUAGAUAUCAGGAGGAACACCGGUGGCGAAGGCGGCUUACUGGGCUUUUACUGACGCUGAGGCUCGAAAGCGUGGGGAGCAAACAGGAUUAGAUACCCUGGUAGUCCACGCUGUAAACGAUGAUUACUAGGUGUGGGGGGACUGACCCCUUCCGUGCCGCAGUUAACACAAUAAGUAAUCCACCUGGGGAGUACGGCCGCAAGGUCGAAACUCAAAGGAAUUGACGGGGGCCCGCACAAGCAGUGGAGUAUGUGGUUCAAUUCGAAGCAACGCGAAGAACCUUACCAGGUCUUGACAUCCUUCUGACCACUCCGUAAUGGGAGUUUUCCUUCGGGACAGAAGAGACAGGUGGUGCAUGGUUGUCGUCAGCUCGUGUCGUGAGAUGUUGGGUUAAGUCCCGCAACGAGCGCAGCCCCUAUCUUCAGUAGCCAGCAGGUAGAGCUGGGCACUCUGGAGAGACUGCCAGGGAUAACCUGGAGGAAGGUGGGGACGACGUCAAAUCAUCAUGCCCCUUAUGAUCUGGGCGACACACGUGCUACAAUGGCGGUCACAGAGUGAGGCGAACCUGCGAGGGGGAGCAAACCACAAAAAGGCCGUCCCAGUUCGGACUGUAGUCUGCAACCCGACUACACGAAGCUGGAAUCGCUAGUAAUCGCGAAUCAGAAUGUCGCGGUGAAUACGUUCCCGGGUCUUGUACACACCGCCCGUCACACCAUGGGAGUCGGAAAUGCCCGAAGCCAGUGACCCAACCUUUUGGAGGGAGCUGUCGAAGGUGGAGCCGGUAACUGGGGUGAAGUCGUAACAAGGUA